rnacentral:rRNA from 1 species
GACGAACGCUGGCGGCGUGCUUAACACAUGCAAGUCGAACGAAGAGCGAUGGAAGCUUGCUUCUAGUAUUCUUAGUGGCGAACGGGUGAGUAACGCGUUAUGAAUCCGCCCUUCAGAGGGGGACAACAGUUGGAAACGACUGCUAAUACCGCAUAUGAUCUAACCUCGGCAUCGACGACAGAUGAAAGGUGGCCUCUACUUGUAAGCUAUCACUGAAGGAGGGGAAUGCGUCUGACUAGCUAGAUGGAGGGGUAACGUCCCACAAAGGCGAUGACCGGUAGCCGCUCAGAGAGGAGGAACGGCCACACUGGGACGGGAACACGACCCAGAAUACUACGGGAGGCAGCAGGGGGGGACCUUACGGAAUGGACGAAAGGCUGACAGAGCGACGACGGGCGAGGGAUGACGGCCGUCGGGUUGUGAAACUCUGUAAGUCGGGACGGAAGGCCUUCUUGCGAAUAGUGAGAAGGAUUGACGGUACCGGGAUAGAAAGCCACGGCUAACUACGUG